rnacentral:rRNA from 1 species
GACGAACGCUGGCGGCGUGCUUAACACAUGCAAGUCGAACGGAAAGGCCCUGCUUUUGUGGGGUGCUCGAGUGGCGAACGGGUGAGUAACACGUGAGUAACCUGCCCUUGACUUUGGGAUAACUUCAGGAAACUGGGGCUAAUACCGGAUAGGAGCUCCUGCUGCAUGGUGGGGGUUGGAAAGUUUCGGCGGUUGGGGAUGGACUCGCGGCUUAUCAGCUUGUUGGUGGGGUAGUGGCUUACCAAGGCUUUGACGGGUAGCCGGCCUGAGAGGGUGACCGGCCACAUUGGGACUGAGAUACGGCCCAGACUCCUAAGGGAGGCAGCAGUGGGGAAUAUUGCACAAUGGGCGGAAGCCUGAUGCAGGAACGCCGCGUGCGGGAUGACGGCCUUCGGGUUGUAAACCGCUUUCGCCUGUGACGAAGCGUGAGUGACGGUAAUGGGUAAAGAAGCACCGGCUAACUAAGUG